CAAAGAAUAGUUUAAUUCAGAAUUCUAGCUUUGGGAGCUAGUGGUGGGAGUUAAAAUCUCCCUUCUUUGA
rnacentral:tRNA from 1 species